ensembl:lncRNA
GGAGAUUUAACACUGCGCUGAAUAUAUUCAGCUGUAAGACUGUGACAGGAAAGAUUGUAGAGAAUGAAGGAAUUGUUCUACAGUUAGGUUACGUGGGUGUAAAUGUAAAUCUGUGUGUUUAGCAGCACCGGGCUAACAGGUCAUCCUAUAGGCUGAUGGAGUGUUUUCGAGCUGUCCGCAUGAACACCAUACACAUUUCAGUGUGAUAUUUUCACACUGCAUUAGCCCACAGUUUUACGAUCCUUUAAUGACAAUACUAUGAAAAAGACAACGUGGAUUAUUUAAUCUGGCAUUUAACACCCAGGAGCUUUCAGCUGGUCCCGAUUCUCAUUCCUCUUAUAUAUAAUUAGUAUAUAAUUAAUUAUGUAUAAUUAUAUAUAGUUAUAUUAGUUAUAGUUAUAUUAGUUAUAUAAGUGUGCUUAAAAGUGAUGUUCUGGGGGCAGAGUUAUGUGUAUAUUGGAGGGAAUGGGGCGAGCUCUAGGAGUAAAGAAAAUAAAAUUAAAAUCUUAUUCAACUCCACGUAUGUAACCCCUAGAGACAUAAUCUCAAAUGAUCUUAAUCUUGAUAAAUAAUCUGCCUAAUCUUAGUGACUUAAUCCAAAUUUUUACAGAUCAUACCAAAUGUACCUUUAAAGUCACACCUUUGUGUGUGUGUGUGUGUGUGUGUGUGUUAUAGUGGUCCAGUCAGAAUCAGAAAGGAAGCCGGUGAGUCCCGUGCUGCCUGUAGUGAUAACGGGGGUGCUGCUGCUGGUCCUGGUUAUUAUGGGAGCAGCGUUUGUGAUGAAGUAUCUACAUGUAAAGCGUCUUAAGCAGGAAAAAGCGGAUCUGGAGGAAACUGUAAGUAAUGAAACUGUGCAGCAUCGCAGUGUUGUGUGUGUGUGGGAGUGAGUGUUGUGUGUGUGUGGGAGUGAGUGUGUUGUGGAGUGUUGUGUGUGUGAGAGAGUGUGUGGGUGUGUGUGUGGGAGUGUGUGUUGUGUGUGUGUGUGGGAGUGAGUGUUGUGUGUGUGUGUGUGGGAGUGAGUGUUGUGUGUGUGUGGUGUGUGUGUGUGAGAGAGAGUGUGUGGGUGUGUGUGUGGGAGUGUGUUGUGGUGGAGUGUGUGUGUGUGGGAGUGUGUGUGUGUGUGUGUGAGUGUGUGUGGUGAGUGUGGGAGUGUGUGUGUGUGUGGGAGUGUGUGUGUGUGGGAGUGUGUGUGUGGGAGUGUGUGUGUGUGUGGGAGUGUGUGUGUGUGGGAGUGUGUCUGUGUGUGUGUGGGAGUGUGUGGUUGGUGGUGUGAGUGUGUGUGAGUGUGUGUGUGUGUGUGUGUGUGUGUGUGUGUGUGUGUGUGGGAGUGUAUGAGGAGUGUAUGAGAGUGUGCUGUAAAGAGGAUGCUAGAAACAGGGUUAAUGUUCCAGGAAAGUUCCAGAUCGUAUCAGGAGCUGCGGAUGGGUUCCAGCUUCACUGGCUAUCAGUGAUGAUCUGAUGAUUUAAAUGGAAGAAAUAGGUGAAGGAGAAUGGCCUGACCGGUUCAAGCUGGACAGAAGACUAUGUGUAACUCAAAACAGAAGAGCAUCUCAGAACACACAGUUUCACGCAGGGUUAGAAGGAGGUUCCUAAUAAUUUGGUUGUCGAGUGUAUCUCAGAAGAAAAGCAUGCGCUGCAGUACGCUCAGUGUGAUUAUAUUUGAGAUCUAUUUUACAGAUUAGACUGAACCUAUCGGAGAUAGAUGUGGAUAAUGGCCGGCGGAGAGCGAACAGCGAUGCGACAGCAGCAGAGUGGCUGAGGCAGAUGGUAGCGGUGGAAAAGCUGAUACAGCGAUACAAACCUGACUCAGUGAGAAGAUCUCGGAGCUGGACGAACCUGUACGACAUCCCGGAGCUGGAGAUGUUGAAGAAGAAGAAGGCAGAAUUGGACAUGGCUGUAAGGAGCAGGGGGAUCUCGGAGCAGGACACAAUCGGCCAGUGGUGGAGUUUGAAGAGGCCAGAACUGAACACGAUCAUAGAGCGCUGGAGAAAGUUUGACGCAGAACCGGACGUGGUGAUCCCGGCAGAACGAUGUUAUAGCUAUCCUUGACAGAACUUUGACAGCAAUAUCAGCAGUGUGUUCAGGUUUGAUCUACCUGCACUGGUCGAUUUUGUUAUUUCUGCUGUGAGCUGGCUGUAUUUGUGUUCUGUAAACAACGCACACUGUGAAUGAAAAAACAACAACAACCAGCUCAUAGUGUGAGUUCCUGCAUACUGCAGUUCACUCGUAGCCUUGUGAAGUACUUGAGCCCUGUUACUGGGGCGUUUACGGAUAUAAACUGAACCCAUUUAAUCAGCCCGAGAGAUUGCACAUUUUGGUUUACUUUAUUCGGUGUUUAGUUAUAUAUCCAGUAACACUAUGUGUGCAACACUAGCAACAAAACUACACAUCAGGUUUACAAAGCAUGACUUGCUCUGUGAUUAUACAAGGUGAUGAGCACAUUGUUCACUUGUUAACUUCCGUAACGCAACUGAAUCCAUUCAGUUAUAAUCAGAUAAUCAGACAAUCAGAUAAUCAGACUGACAAAACGUCUGCAGUGCUCCUGCUUCAUCCCAUCAUCAUCAUCAAAACAGAGAGGAGCGCUUACACACAUUACAAAAGAGCUCCUCUAACAAAGAAUAACAGUAGGUUUAACAUUAAGAUAGAAGUCCCCUUCCCUCCCGGCCCUAAAUCUCACACACGUAGUAUUUUAAAACACUUUUUUAUCCAUGUUGUCAGGGACGUGUGCGUUACCAUGCAGCUGUAAUAAAUAUAGCGCAACUGUGUGUAACUGUGUGUAAAUAUAGUGUAAGUGUGUAAGACAUUUGAUUGUUUUUAUAUUCUGGAAUAUUUUUAACCAAAAUAAAUCUAUCUUCUGUAACUUUGAGUUUUGAUAAGCAGUUAUUUCAGUGUGUGUUAAUGUGUGUGUGUGUGUGUGUGUGUGUGUGUGUGUGUGUGUGUGUGUGUGUGUUGUUAUUGACUCAGUGUUUAAUUUACAGGGCGAUCAGGCGAAUCUCAUGAAGAGUUAAAGGAUCAAAUUAAUUUAGGGCUCAGUUUGAAUUUUAUUAUCUCAGUAUUAACAGGAUGAUUUAAACCAUUCUCUGCUUCCCUGCAUUAUUAUUAUUAUUAUUAUUAUUAUUAUUAUUAUUAUUAUUAUUAUUUUAUUUUGCAUUAACCAAACUGAGCCACGUGUUAGAUGAAUUAGAUGAAGAUUUCAGUGCUUUAUCUCUAACCAAAACUCCAUUUAAACACGACUGAACAAGGCUGUGUUAUAACACAGUGCAUGCUGAAGACUUUUUAGAAACUCUUUUUUCACCAGCUGCGUCUCCUUCUCCACUCUGACCCUCGUCUGAGUGGUUCUCCGUCUGCACAUCUGAAACCACACAGAAC